rnacentral:misc_RNA from 1 species
CAUUACCGAGUUUACAACUCCCAAACCCAUGUGAACAUACCUUACAGUUGCUUCGGCGGAGCCGCCCCGGCGCCCGGAACCCAGUUUCGCGGCCCGGACCAAGGCGCCCGCCGGAGGCCACAAACUCUUCUGUUUUUACAGUAUCUUCUGAGUGUGCCGCAGGCAAAAACAAAUGAAUCAAAACUUUCAACAACGGAUCUCUUGGUUCUGGCAU